UUUCCGUAGGUGAACCUGCGGAAGGAUCAUUACUGAGUGAGGGCCCUCUGAGUCCAACCACCCACCCGUGUUAAUUAUACCUUGUUGCGUCCGUGAGCGCGCCCCACGGCCGCCGGUAGGCAUCUGCCCCCGGGCCCGCGCCCACCGAAGACACCUAGUACUCUGUAUGAAGAUUGCAGUCUGAGCAAAAACUAAAUAAGUUAAAACUUUCAACAACGGAUCUCUUGGUUCCG
rnacentral:misc_RNA from 1 species